GGGGAUAAGGGCAUCUUAAAGGUGCUCAAACAUAGGGAGCAACUAUCUUUGCUGAGGGUUGAGAGUGAUGAUGAGGACCCUACUAACUGUUUAGAUAGUGAUGCAGGUGGAGUUGAUGUGGAGUAUUCAUGGGAGUGCAGUUUUUGAGAUAGAUUCAGGGAGCAUUCUUUUACACUUUAUUAUUUACUCAUGUGGCGAGGACACUGCUAUUACUUCAGUUGAGGGUGGUUAUUUCUGGAUUCAUACGGUUAUGAUAUAUUUCAGGAUGUUUUUG
rnacentral:lncRNA from 1 species